AUAUAAUAGUGUUUCCUUAACCGCUCUGAGAUCGCCUGUUAUCGUAGGUCGGACACAUUUAAUAGCGGAUUCUUGUUGUGCUAUAGUUAUUUAUAUAACGAUAGCGCUUUCUGUUCUGCAAUUGUUAAUAUUCU
rnacentral:sRNA from 1 species